rnacentral:rRNA from 1 species
UGGGGAAUUUUGGACAAUGGGCGAAAGCCUGAUCCAGCAAUGCCGCGUGUGUGAAGAAGGCCUUCGGGUUGUAAAGCACUUUUGUCCGGAAAGAAAUCCUCUGGGUUAAUACCUCGGGGGGAUGACGGUACCGGAAGAAUAAGCACCGGCUAACUACGUGCCAGCAGCCGCGGUAAUACGUAGGGUGCAAGCGUUAAUCGGAAUUACUGGGCGUAAAGCGUGCGCAGGCGGUUUUGUAAGACGGAUGUGAAAUCCCCGGGCUUAACCUGGGAACUGCAUUCGUGACUGCAAGGCUAGAGUAUGGCAGAGGGGGGUAGAAUUCCACGUGUAGCAGUGAAAUGCGUAGAGAUGUGGAGGAAUACCGAUGGCGAAGGCAGCCCCCUGGGCCAAUACUGACGCUCAUGCACGAAAGCGUGGGGAGCAAACAGGAUUAGAUACCCUGGUAGUCCACGCCCUAAAACGAUGUCAACUAGUUGUUGGGGAUUCAUUUCCUUAGUAACGUAGCUAACGCGUGAAGUUGACCGCCUGGGGAGUACGGUCG